GAUAAGGUGCUAAAACCCAUCACGUCAAAACCAACGACGCCAUGUUCAACUCUUCGAAUCCGCUCGUUCACUCUCUUACUCCUCCAUUGAAACUCAGCAGCAACCUCUUCUUCAUCUCCGUCCCCAAACCUUCGAACCUCUGUACCAGAGCCCUCAAAACCGCCACCGCUAACUUCUCGCUUUCCUACUCGCCCGAGUCACUGUCCAACCAACUCAGCCUCGCCCAUUCCCUUCAAUCCGAAACCCUAGAAAUCCUAGAAUGGGCCUCGGUCUGCAAGCAGCUCUCGGCGUUGGCGUUCACCGCCAUGGGCUUCUCGGCCGCGCAGGAGGCCCACAUUCCAGUCGGCCGGUCCAAGGAGGAGAGCCAGAAGCUUCUCGAUCAGACGACCGCGGCCGUGGAUGCCAUCACGAUGGCCGGUUCUCCGCCGUCCGAUUUCUCGGCCAUCGAGAACGUCUCGGGCAUCGUGAGCUCCGCGGUUUCAGGCAAAUUGCUUAGCAUCAACGAGCUCUGCGCUGUGCGUAGGACGCUGAACGCCGCGAAGGGAUUGUUCGAAAAAUUGAAGGGCUUGGCUUUUAGUGCAGAUUGUACAGACAGGUACUUGCCCCUGCUUGAAAUACUUGACGAUUGUGAUUUCCUAGUGGAGCUGGAGAAAACGAUAGGAUUAUGCAUAGAUUGCAAGCUUUCAAUAAUUGUUGACACAGCUAGUGAAGACCUGGAGAUCAUUAGGUCAGAAAGGAAGAGUAACAUGGAAAAUCUGGAUUCUUUGUUGAAGGAAGUGUCAACCCAGAUUUUUAAAGCUGGUGGCAUUGACAGUCCUUUGGUGACUAAGCGCAGGGCUAGGAUGUGUGUGGGUGUUAGGGCUACUCACAAACAUUUGCUUCCGGGUUGCAUAGUUUUGGAUGUUAGUAGUUCUGGCGCAACAUACUUUGUGGAACCCAAAGAAGCUGUGGAGUUGAAUAACAUGGAAGUGAGGCUUUCAAAUGCUGAGAGAGCUGAGGAAAUAGGCAUUUUGAGCUUCCUCACAUCAGAAAUUGCAAAAUCAGAAACACCGAUAAUGUAUUUGUUAGAUAAAGUUCUAGAAGUGGAUCUUGCUUUUGCUAGAGCUGCUUAUGCUCUACGGAUGAAUGGGGUAUGCCCAAUUUUUAGUUCCAAGGAUUGCCAGGACUUAGAUUCUGGUGGCGCCAGUUUAGCAACAUCUGUAGAUAUAGAAGGACUACAACAUCCAUUGCUGCUUGAGCCAUCUCUUAAAAAUUUAUCUGACGUUCUUGCAUCCAGUUCUAGAAAUCAUCUUUCCUCUGAUGACGUUAAUGGUUUAAAAAUGAUUACUGGAAGUUUAUCUGGUCGUGCAUCUGAUUUUCCAGUGCCAAUAGACAUCAAAAUUGGAUGUGGCACCAGAGUGGUUGUAAUCUCAGGACCUAAUACUGGAGGAAAAACAGCUUCCAUGAAGGCUUUGGGCAUGGCAUCUCUCAUGUCAAAGGCUGGCAUGUAUCUGCCUGCUAAGAACCACCCAAAGCUUCCGUGGUUUGAUCUUGUUCUAGCCGAUAUUGGAGAUCACCAGUCUCUUGAGCAAAAUCUCUCAACGUUUAGUGGGCACAUAUCACGGAUCUGUAAUAUUUUGGAAGUGGCCUCAAAAGAAUCACUUGUCCUCAUUGAUGAAAUUGGCAGUGGAACCGAUCCUUCAGAAGGUGUUGCUCUUUCUGCCAGCAUCUUGCUAUAUCUCAAAGGCCGUGUUAACUUAGCUGUUGUGACUACUCAUUAUGCGGAUUUAAGUCGCCUGAAAGAAAAGGAUAAUCGGUUUGAAAAUGCAGCCAUGGAAUUUUGUCUAGAAACCUUACAACCUACUUAUCGGAUCCUAUGGGGAAGUACUGGUGAUUCAAAUGCAUUGAGUAUUGCUAAAUUGAUUGGUUUUAAUCAACGCAUAAUUGAGCGUGCACAAAAAUUGGUGGAGAGGUUAAUGCCUGAAAACCAACAAGAGCGAAAAGGUUUGCUAUAUCGGUCAUUAAUAGAGGAAAGAGGCAGACUAGAAGCUCAGGCAAAAAUGGCUGCAUCACUUCAUUCAGAUAUCAUGGAUCUUUAUCGUGAGAUCCAAGAUGAGGCAGAAGAUCUUGAUAAGCGCAAGAGAGCUCUUAUGGCAAAGGAAACCCUACAGGUUCAGAAAGAAGUGAAGACUGCAAAAUCUCAAAUGGAAUCUGUGCUGAACGAGUUUGAUAACCAACUCAAAACUGCUGGUGCUGAUCAGUUGAAUUUGCUGAUUAGGAAAUCAGAAGCUGCAAUUGCAUCUGUUAUUAAGGCUCAUUGUCCUGAUGAUGAUUUGUUGGUUAGCGAGACAUCUACCGCUUCAUACACGCCCCAACCUGGGGAGCAAGUCCAUUUGAAGAGACUGGGAGAUAAGUUAGCUACUGUUGUUGAAACACCUGGAGAUGAUGGGACAGUCCUUGUACAAUACGGUAAAAUAAAGGUUCGCUUGAAGAAGAAUGACAUCAGAGCUGUUCCUAGUAUUGAGAAGAAUCCAAUGACAAAUUCUGCCCCACGUUUGAAGCAGCAGGCUUCGCAGAGUCGUACUGGGGAAACCGAAAGCGGGGAGGUCGCCUAUGGUCCAGUAUUACAAACGUCAAAGAACACCGUGGAUCUCCGUGGCAUGAGGGUGGAGGAAGCUUCUGACCUCCUGGACAUGGUCAUCUCUGCUAGACAAUCUCAAUCAGUUCUCUUUGUCAUACAUGGGAUGGGCACAGGGGUUGUUAAAGAGCGAGCACUUGAGAUUUUGAAAAACCAUCCACGAGUAGCCAACAGACUCCACGUCUUGCCCUGAUGUAAUCCUUGGAGCUGCCACAUGCACAGUGCCUCCCAACACUCUCUUGUAAGCUAGCCAGACUUAUUUUCUCCAGAUAAGCAUGUGGACAAAAGCAUAGAAACCAAGAUUGUAUAUGUACAAGCUGCUCCAUUCUGAGAAAUAGCUGUAUGUUGUUGAAGGUUUGCUGGAAAAUGUUGGCGGUUUUUGAGAAAGCAAUUGGAAAACCACCUGAGGAGCUGAGGCUUCCUUCGAAUGUGUUGGAGAAGGCAAAGACCAGAGAGGAAAUUUUGGAGACUUUCCAAUCUUCAUGUCCUGAGAGCACGGUGUACUGUCUUUCAAAUGGGAAUUUCAUGGCCUUGUCCCAUGCCGACGAAAGUAUUCAAUCACACCCAAGGUCCAUAGUUGUCAUAGACGAUGUCUUCUGCAUUUUUAUAGGGAUUUUGGAGAACACUUGUGACCUUAGAAGGCACUACGGCCUUCCAAGACAAGCAACAGAAGCCAUGGUUGUGGUUGAAGCUUAUAAAGUUCUAAGAGAUCGAGCACCCUACCCGCCAGAUCAAGUCAUCAAAGAUCUGCAAGGAAAAUUCGCAUUUAUUCUCUUUGAUGCUAGAUUUGGUACCCUUUUUGCAGCGAGGGAUCGAGAUGGAAGUGUGGAGCUUCAGUGGGCCAUGGCAGGUGAUGGAUCCCUAGUCUACUCUCAUGAUCUCGACAUCAUCAGAGAGGCUUGUGGAAAAUCUUUUGCACCUUUUCCUCCAGGCUGCAUAUUUACAAGUGGAAGUGGGCUGACGAGCUUUGUUCAUCCCUUACACAAGGUAAGGGCAAUCACACACGAAGAUGAUGAUGGCCAUAUUUGUGGAGUUACUUUUCAGGUGGAUCUGUUCACCCGACUCCCCAGCAUCCCGCGCACCGGCAGUGCAGGAAAUUGGGCUGAUCAAGCACCUGUGGUCAAGGAAGGAGAAGGAAAUUGGUCUGAUCAAGCAACUGUGGUCAAGGAAGGAGAAUAAGGACCCUAAAAUUAGCCCUGCAGCCUGCCAGUGAGAACAAUGAAUUGUAUAUGUAACUGGUGAGUUGUAAACUAGAGUGUGUAAUAAAAACAGAACAAGUCCUGAGAGGCCUAUCAGAAAUGCAUGCUUAUUAUAUCAUCA